rnacentral:lncRNA from 1 species
CUGGGAGUUGGACAGAGCGUUUUCCUCAGCUCGGAGGCGACUUCUCGACGCCAGUCGAAGCUCGCUCUCACGCUCUCCCGUGGCGUUUUCUGGGGCCUGGCUGGGAAGAUGAACACGCCUCGCACCCUUAGCGUCCCAGUUUUCUGGCCUCCUUACCUGAAGUGUGCUUAUCAGGAGUCACUGAUUCACCCCGCAAGGGCUUUGUUACACCUGUGACCUGGGGCCCAUGCCUCCAAGAUUCCAAAAAUGGUAAUUCUCCAGCUCCUUACCUUUCACCUG